GUAAAAAAUAUCGGUAUCGAAUGCCAAAAGUAUCGAUAUGGUAUCGUAUCGUAUCGAAACUCGUGUCCCUAGCCUUCGCACAUGGAUAUUAAUAAUAACUUAUACACAUAUAUAAAUGUUCAACUAGAUCAAGAGACAUGGCCAAAAGAUUAAGCAUUAAGAAGCGAAACUGAAAAUCUAUUUAAUCAGCCUGAACCACCAUCCAAGAAACGUUUUGAGGAAAUAAUAGUUUAUUUAUCGGAACAGAAGAGCGAAAAAGCAGAGUUCCAAAAAAUUAAUAAGGAGCUAUAGGACGAACUUACUGCAUUUAAAGCUGGAAGGUGUAAUGAAAUUACUGGCAGAACAAUGUUCCUCGCUGAAUGGCGUAUCUACAAAUUUAUUU